rnacentral:rRNA from 2 species
GUCAGGAUGAUUAUUGGGCCUAAAGCAUCCGUAGCUCGUUUUGUAAGUUUUCGGUUAAAUCCAUGCGCUCAACGUAUGGGCUGCCGGGAAUACUGCAUAACUAGGAAGUGGGAGAGGUAGACGGUACUCGGUAGGAAGGGGUAAAAUCCUUUGAUCUAUUGAUGACCACCUGUGGCGAAGGCGGUCUACCAGAACACGUUCGACGGUGAGGGAUGAAAGCUGGGGGAGCAAACCGGAUUAGAUACCCGGGUAGUCCCAGCUGUAAACUAUGCAAACUCAGUGAUGCAUUGGCUUGUGGCCAAUGCAGUGCUGCAGGGAAGCCGUUAAGUUUGCCGCCUGGGAAGUACGUACGCAAGUAUGAAACUUAAAGGAAUUGGCGGGGGAGCACCACAAGGGGUGAAGCCUGCGGUUCAAUUGGAGUCAACGCCAGAAAUCUUACCCGGAGAGACAGCAGAAUGAAGGUCAAGCUGAAGACUUUACCAGACAAGCUGAGAGGUGGUGCAUGGCCGUCGCCAGCUCGUGCCGUGAGAUGUCCUGUUAAGUCAGGUAACGAGCGAGAUCCCUGCCUCUAGUUGCCACCAUUACUCUCAGGAGUAGUGGGGCGAAUUAGCGGGACCGCCGCAGUUAAUGCGGAGGAAGGAAGGGGCCACGGCAGGUCAGUAUGCCCCGAAACUCUGGGGCCACACGCGGGCUGCAAUGGUAGUGACAAUUGGUUCCGAAUCCGAAAGGAGGAGGUAAUCCUCAAACGCUACCACAGUUAUGACUGAGGGCUGCAACUCGCCCUCACGAAUAUGGAAUCCCUAGUAACUGCGUGUCAUUAUCGCGCGGUGAAUACGUCCCUGCUCCUUGCACACACCGCCCGUCGUUUCAUUGAAGUUUGCUUUUAGCGAGGUGACGUCUGAUUGGCGUUAUCGAACUUGAGGUAAGUGACAAGGGAAAAGUCGUAACAAGGUAACCAAGGGCGAAUUCCACAGUGGAUAUCAAGCUUAUCGAUACCGUCGA